rnacentral:rRNA from 1 species
GACGAACGCUGGCGGCGUGCUUAACACAUGCAAGUCGAACGGAAAGGCCCUGCUUUUGUGGGGUGCUCGAGUGGCGAACGGGUGAGUAACACGUGAGUAACCUGCCCUUGACUUUGGGAUAACUUCAGGAAACUGGGGCUAAUACCGGAUAGGAGCUCCUGCUGCAUGGUGGGGGUUGGAAAGUUUCGGCGGUUGGGGAUGGACUCGCGGCUUAUCAGCUUGUUGGUGGGGUAGUGGCUUACCAAGGCUUUGACGGGUAGCCGGCCUGAGAGGGUGGCCGGCCACAUUGGGACUGAGAUACGGCCCAGACGCCUACGGGCGGCAGCAGUGGGGAAUAUUGCACAAUGGGCGGACGCCUGAUGCAGCAACGCCGCGUGCGGGAUGCCGGCCUUCGGGUUGUAAACCGCUUUCGCCUGUGACGAAGCGUGAGUGACGGUAAUGGGUAAAGAAGCACCGGCUAACUACGUG